UUCCUCUUCAACGUCGUCAAUCACGCACCAACAUGUGAACACGCGACCGGCGUCGUUUUUAGAGAAGCGAGAACGCUUAUUUGGGGCAAAAACAGGGCCAUAAAGACCCCAUACCCACAUAAGGUUCCAUAUCCGAGAGACCAAGCAACWCUCCAUGGGCCAUGAAACCAACACUUAUGCACCAGUAGCAUGGAUCACAAAGAAUACUUCAAGGUUCAACCCGCGCCACAAGAGCAACGGGCAAUGAACAAGGACAUUGUUACGG
rnacentral:misc_RNA from 1 species